rnacentral:rRNA from 1 species
GAUGAACGCUGGCGGCGUGCCUAAUACAUGCAAGUCGAGCGAACAGACGAGGAGCUUGCUCCUCUGACGUUAGCGGCGGACGGGUGAGUAACACGUGGAUCACCUACCUCUAAGACUGGGAUAACUUCGUGAAACCGGAGCCAAUACCGGCUCAUAUAUUGAACCGCAUGGUUCAAUAGUGCAAGACGGCUUUGCUGUUUCUUAUAGCUGGAUCCGCGUCGCAUUAGCUAGUUGGUAAGGUAACGGCUUACCAAGGCAACGAUGCGUAGCCGACCUGAGAGGGUGAUCAGCCACACUGGAACUGAGACACGGUCCAGACUCCUACGGGAGGCAGCAGUAGGGAAUCUUCCGCAAUGGGCGAAAGCCUGACGGAGCAACGCCGCGUGAGUGAUGAAGGUCUUCGGAUCGUAAAACUCUGUUAUUAGGGAAGAACAAAAGUGUAAGUAACUAUGCACGUCUUGACGGUACCUAAUCAGAAAGCCACGGCUAACUACGUG